rnacentral:lncRNA from 1 species
GUUAUCAGCUGAGGUCACUAUCCUAAUAUACAACGUGCUGCACAGAAGAGGAACAUUGCUAUAAAUCAUACCCUAGCUACAUAAAGGUGAACAAAAGACAAAAAGCUUGGCCCUGCUCACAGUCUGGCUUCCUUAGGAGGAGGACACAUUACCCUUGGAGCAAGAGAAAAUAUAUACUGAAGUGAAUGUAAGGAAAAUGCUGUGAAAAAUACCAAGAUUUCAAACCUGGACUGCUCAGGUAAUGCACAUUACUGCCUCAGAGUCCUCUUAUUGUCUAUCUUUGCAAACAGCUGGCAACAGCUCUUGGUAAAUAAAAUCAUCUUGGUGAGUGUGAGAGCUGAGGGACCCCCAGGGGGACAGGAG